CAUCCCUCUCUCCAUUCUCCUUAUCUCUUCGUCUCUAUUAUUUCUCUCUCAUUUCUCAGAGGAAGAAAGAGAAACUAUUUUGCUUUGUGAACCUUCUUCGUCUCUCUAUUAUUACUUACCAAAACUAAGAUUACAUGAUUUCUAUCAAAGAUAAUGAUUCUAAGCUUGAUAAAUCCAACAAUUCUCCUCUUUCUAUCUAUCUGCUCUUUUUACUCUUCCUCUCUUUAAAUAGUUUGUUGUUGUUUUUACUGCUACAUUCUACAUCUGAAUCUGAUUGAAAAAAAAAACCUCCUUCGCAGGAGACCCAAAAUCCCUUUUCUUCAGAAAACCCUAACUUUCUCUCUCGAAAAUUAAAAUUAUAAACCUAAUUUUUCCAGUUUCAUACUUGUUACAACUAUCAUUCCAUGGUAACAGAAGUCAUUAGUGAAAAGUAAUAGAAAUCGGUGAAAUGUUUUGGUUGGAUGCUAUUCUUCCAUUAGGAAUUAUAGAUUUGGGUGUGAUGUUGAAGUUGUUUCUUACAAGGAUAGGUCAUGGUUCAAAUUGUAACAAUCCCACUUGAUGCAAUGCCAGAGUUUGUUUAAGGAAAUUUGAGCUUUAAAAGAGAGUUUUUCACUGUUGCUCGAGCAUCAAGACUCUCUUGACAGGUUUUGCUUUGUUAAUCUCUCAAUUUCAAGUGAAGUUGCUGAAGUUAUUUCAAUCUCUCAAUUUCAUUGAAUCUCAGAUUCAUUGUUACCUGUAGUCUUUCUUCAAUACAUCUAAGUAGCAUUGGAAGGAUAAUCUCUUGUAGCGAAAACUGUGACUACUGUCGAAAGUUGCCAUUUAUAUGAAUCUCAAGAAGGCCUAUACAUAAUGGUGAAGAUAUGGGAAAAUCUUAUGUAUGCCUUUUGUACUGAAAGCUGGAUCUUAAAUUAAUCUACAAAGUCUAAAUCCGGUGCUACGAAGACACCAAGCUGAUGAAGUUAUUCCCUGAAAUUGUUCGAAACCUCUGCUUGCAGAAGAUACAAUUAUUCAUUGGUUUCGCUAAGGAUUAAACCCCAAGGGAAGAAAAAGAUUUGUGAAAGCUCUGGAACUCAAUGGUUAACUGGCUGGAGGAGGCAGGAGAUGGUGCUGACAAUGGAUGUUAUUCAAGCCUGGAGGAGGCAGUGCUGUAGAGGACAGAUUACACUGGUCAUAACUACAUAUUACACUGGUCAGAACUACAGAUUUUAAUCCUUUGUGUAAUUUGAAACCAAUGAAUCAAUGAAUCAAUGAUCACCUUUUAAGUCUUGCUCUUAGCUGCUUCAUUGCUUCUGAUGCAACAAUCUGCAGCUUAAACCUACAUAGUAAAAUCCUCCUUGCUUGAGGUUGGUGAUUUUGUUGCUGCAAGAGCUGUCUUCAUCAGUUUCUUUUUCCUUUUACUUCUAAACUCAGUUCAAGCUUAUGCACUAUGUCACUCAAUAGCUUGCGAGGGAGUAGGUAAGAGGUUGCUUAGAGUUUUUGUUGUGGUUUGAAUGUGUAUACUCAGAUUGGAUUCCUAACUUGAAGACUUGAAAUAAUGAGAUUGGUCCUGGGCCGACUCUGGUACAAAA